AUUUAGCGGCGGACGGGUGAGUAAUGCCUAGGAAUCUGCCUGGUAGUGGGGGAUAACGUUCCGAAAGGGACGCUAAUACCGCAUACGUCCUACGGGAGAAAGCAGGGGACCUUCGGGCCUUGCGCUAUCAGAUGAGCCUAGGUCGGAUUAGCUAGUUGGUGAGGUAAUGGCUCACCAAGGCGACGAUCCGUAACUGGUCUGAGAGGAUGAUCAGUCACACUGGAACUGAGACACGGUCCAGACUCCUACGGGAGGCAGCAGUGGGGAAUAUUGGACAAUGGGCGAAAGCCUGAUCCAGCCAUGCCGCGUGUGUGAAGAAGGUCUUCGGAUUGUAAAGCACUUUAAGUUGGGAGGAAGGGCAGUAAGCUAAUAUCUUGCUGUUUUGACGUUACCGACAGAAUAAGCACCGGCUAACUCUGUGCCAGCAGCCGCGGUAAUACAGAGGGUGCAAGCGUUAAUCGGAAUUACUGGGCGUAAAGCGCGCGUAGGUGGUUUGUUAAGUUGGAUGUGAAAGCCCCGGGCUCAACCUGGGAACUGCAUCCAAAACUGGCAAGCUAGAGUAUGGUAGAGGGUGGUGGAAUUUCCUGUGUAGCGGUGAAAUGCGUAGAUAUAGGAAGGAACACCAGUGGCGAAGGCGACCACCUGGACUGAUACUGACACUGAGGUGCGAAAGCGUGGGGAGCAAACAGGAUUAGAUACC
rnacentral:rRNA from 1 species